AGAGUUUGAUUCUGGCUCAGGAUGAACGCUAGCGACAGGCUUAACACAUGCAAGUCGAGGGCAGCAUAAAAGUAGCAAUACUUGGUGGCGACCGGCGCACGGGUGAGUAACGCGUAUGCAACCUACCUAUCAGAGGGGAAUAACCCGGCGAAAGUCGGACUAAUACCGCAUAAAACAGGGGCACCGCAUGGUGAUAUUUGUUAAAGAAAUUCGCUGAUAGAUGGGCAUGCGUUCCAUUAGGUAGUUGGUGAGGUAACGGCUCACCAAGCCGACGAUGGAUAGGGGAACUGAGAGGUUGGUCCCCCACACUGGUACUGAGACACGGACCAGACUCCUACGGGAGGCAGCAGUGAGGAAUAUUGGUCAAUGGGCGGGAGCCUGAACCAGCCAAGUCGCCGUGAAGGAAGAAGGAUCUAUGGUUCGUAAACUUCUUUUGCAGGGGAAUAAAGUGCAGGACGUGUCCUGUUUUGUAUGUACCCUGAGAAUAAGGAUCGGCUAACUCCGUGCCAGCCGCCGC
rnacentral:rRNA from 1 species